GAUGAACGCUAGCGAUAGGCCUAACACAUGCAAGUCGAGGGGCAUCACAUGAAGUAGCAAUACGGAUGGUGGCGACCGGCGCACGGGUGAGUAACACGUAUGCAACCUGCCUUCAACAAGGGGAUAACCCGUUGAAAAACGGACUAAUACCCUAUAAUACAGGGGUCCCGCAUGGGGAUAUUUGUUAAAGAUUGAUCGGUUGAAGAUGGGCAUGCGUUCCAUUAGCUGGUUGGUGAGGUAACGGCUCACCAAGGCAACGAUGGAUAGGGGAACUGAGAGGUUUAUCCCCCACACUGGUACUGAGACACGGACCAGACUCCUACGGGAGGCAGCAGUGAGGAAUAUUGGUCAAUGGACGCAAGUCUGAACCAGCCACGUCGCGUGAAGGAAGACGGCCCUACGGGUUGUAAACUUCUUUUAUACGGGAAUAAAGUGCCCCACGCGUGGGGUUUUGCAUGUACCGUAUGAAUAGGAUCGGCUAACUCCGUGCCAGCAGCCGCGG
rnacentral:rRNA from 1 species